rnacentral:tRNA from 1 species
GGGCCCGUAGCUCAGUCCGGUUAGAGCGUUCGACUGAUAAUCGAAAGGUCAUGAGUUCAAAUCUCACCGGGCCCA